GGAGAGGAAGCUUUGUAGUCUGGUCAGAGGAACGUAGUUGGUGUCACUUGUGGGAACUGCGGCUCAGUCUGUAAGUUACCUCGGACUCAGGCUGCCAUCGGCACCGGGUAGCCCAACCUAAGCCUCUCCCAACCAUGGCAGUUCCCGAGACUCGCCCCAACCACACUAUUUAUAUCAACAACCUCAAUGAGAAGAUCAAGAAGGAUGAGCUGAAAAAGUCCCUGUACGCCAUCUUCUCCCAGUUUGGCCAGAUCCUGGAUAUUCUGGUGUCCCGGAGCCUGAAGAUGAGGGGCCAGGCUUUUGUCAUCUUUAAGGAAGUGAGCAGUGCUACCAACGCCUUGCGCUCCAUGCAGGGUUUUCCGUUCUAUGACAAGCCCAUGCGUAUCCAAUAUGCCAAGACAGACUCGGACAUCAUUGCCAAGAUGAAGGGCACCUUUGUAGAGCGGGACCGCAAGCGGGAGAAGAGGAAGCCCAAGAGCCAGGAGACCCCAUCUGCCAAGAAGGCCGUGCAGGGCGGGGCGGCUGCCCCUGUGGUGGGAGCUGUCCAGGGGCCUGUUCCGGGUAUGCCGCCAAUGACUCAGGCACCUCGCAUCAUGCACCACAUGCCAGGCCAGCCUCCUUACAUGCCGCCUCCUGGCAUGAUCCCGCCGCCAGGCCUUGCACCCGGCCAGAUCCCCCCGGGAGCCAUGCCUCCUCAGCAGCUCAUGCCAGGGCAGAUGCCACCUGCCCAGCCUCUUUCUGAGAAUCCACCCAAUCACAUCCUGUUCCUCACCAACCUGCCCGAAGAGACAAACGAGCUCAUGCUGUCCAUGCUUUUCAACCAGUUCCCUGGCUUCAAGGAGGUCCGUCUGGUCCCUGGGCGGCAUGAUAUUGCCUUUGUGGAGUUUGACAAUGAGGUACAGGCAGGGGCAGCUCGCGAUGCCCUGCAGGGCUUUAAGAUCACCCAGAACAAUGCCAUGAAGAUCUCCUUUGCCAAGAAGUAGCACCUUUCCCCAACCCCCGGGACUGCCCCAGUCCCCAUUCUGGGGCCACCCUCCCCCCUUGGCUCAGUCCCUGAAGAUAUUCACACUUGUGAAAUCCCCUUGUCUUGAGCGUGAGCUGGACCUAGUGACCUGCUUCAGAUAAGUAUAGCAGUCCUCCUUUUCUGUGGGGGCUACGAUUGUUCUAAAACCCUCUAGUUGUGUGCCCGAACCCACAGGUUGUACAGAAGCUGACAAUGCUCUUUCCAUCUCACCAUGCGUUGUGGCUAUAACCUUUGCAGUUUGAAGUGUGACUGCAAAACUAGUGUGAAUUGUUUGUCCUUCACAAUUUCACAGAUUUGUUUUUAUUGUAGAUCUUAGCAACCUCAACCGAGGAUUUUUUUUUCCUUAUUGAGAACUUUCACCUUUUUACAAAAACUAAGCAUUUUACAGUUGUGUGUGUGCAUGUGUGUGUGUGCAUGUGCAGGGGUACUGGGGCUUCACUCCACCAGGCCCUUUUUCUUGUGAUGGGUUUUUUUGAGAUAAAGUAUU